rnacentral:rRNA from 1 species
UUGAUUGGUGCUUGCAUCAUGAUUUACAUUUGAGUGAGUGGUGAACUGGUGAGUAACACGUGGGAAACCUGCCCAGAAGCGGGGGAUAACACCUGGAAACAGAUGCUAAUACCGCAUAACAACUUGGACCGCAUGGUCCGAGCUUGAAAGAUGGCUUCGGCUAUCACUUUUGGAUGGUCCCGCGGCGUAUUAGCUAGAUGGUGGGGUAACGGCUCACCAUGGCAAUGAUACGUAGCCGACCUGAGAGGGUAAUCGGCCACAUUGGGACUGAGACACGGCCCAAACUCAUACGGGAGGCAGCAGUAGGGAAUCUUCCACAAUGGACGAAAGUCUGAUGGAGCAACGCCGCGUGAGUGAAGAAGGGUUUCGGCUCGUAAAACUCUGUUGUUAAAGAAGAACAUAUCUGAGAGUAACUGUUCAGGUAUUGACGGUAUUUAACCAGAAAGCCACGGCUAACUACGUGCCAGCAGCCGCGGUAAUACGUAGGUGGCAAGCGUUGUCCGGAUUUAUUGGGCGUAAAGCGAGCGCAGGCGGUUUUUUAAGUCUGAUGUGAAAGCCUUCGGCUCAACCGAAGAAGUGCAUCGGAAACUGGGAAACUUGAGUGCAGAAGAGGACAGUGGAACUCCAUGUGUAGCGAUGAAAUGCGUAGAUAUAUGGAAGAACACCAGUGACGAAGGCGGCUGUCUGGUCUGUAACUGACGCUGAGGCUCGAAAGCAUGGGUAGCACACAGGAUUAGAUACGCUGGUAGUCCAUACCGUAGACGAUGAAUGCUAAGUGUUGGA